rnacentral:rRNA from 1 species
GACGAACGCUGGCGGCGUGCUUAACACAUGCAAGUCGAACGCUGAAGCUCAGCUUUUGUUGGGUGGAUGAGUGGCGAACGGGUGAGUAACACGUGAGUAACCUGCCCCCUUCUUUGGGAUAACGCCCGGAAACGGGUGCUAAUACUGGAUAUUCACUGGUCUUCGCAUGGGGGUUGGUGGAAAGGGUUUUUCUGGUGGGGGAUGGGCUCGCGGCCUAUCAGCUUGUUGGUGGGGUGAUGGCCUACCAAGGCUUUGACGGGUAGCCGGCCUGAGAGGGUGACCGGGCACAUUGGGACUGAGAUACGGCCCAGACUCCUACGGGAGGCAGCAGUGGGGAAUAAUGCACAAUGGGCGCAAGCCUGAUGCAGCGACGCCGCGUGAGGGAUGGAGGCCUUCGGGUUGUGAACCUCUUUCGCUCAUGGUCAAGCCGCAACAAUGGUUGUGGUGAGGGUAGUGGGUAAAGAAGCGCCGGCUAACUACGUG